CAAAUUCUAAAUUCACCAAGUGAACCCAGUUCGAAGGUGGCUUUUUCUCUGAAGCCUCCCCUGAUACAGAAAACCAACCUAAGCCAAAUCUGCCGUUAUGACAAAAUCUAAACUGUGACUCAAGAGCUAAAUGAUGAUGAAAAAGGCCAACAAGAGCUGGAGGACUUUGUGUCGAGAACAUAUUUUGGAGGUGACUUCUACUCAUGGAAGAGGAUGGGUCAGGUGACCCCUAAAUCCAUUUAAAUAAAUGUUCACCACAGGAAAAAGAGAGAGAGGAAGAA